UACAGAGGGUGCAAGCGUUGUUCGGAAUUAUUGGGCGUAAAGGGCGCGUAGGCGGUGCGGUAAGUCACCUGUGAAACCUCUGGGCUUAACUCAGAGCCUGCAGGCGAAACUGCCGUGCUUGAGUGUGGGAGAGGUGCGUGGAAUUCCCGGUGUAGCGGUGAAAUGCGUAGAUAUCUGCAGGAACACCCGUGGCGAAAGCGGCGCGCUGGACCACUACUGACGCUGAGGAACGAAAGCUAGGGGAGCAAACAGG
rnacentral:rRNA from 1 species